CCUACGGGAGGCAGCAGUGAGGAAUAUUGGUCAAUGGGCGGGAGCCUGAACCAGCCAAGUCGCGUGAGGGAAGACGGUCCUAUGGAUUGUAAACCUCUUUAGGCGGGGAGCAAUGCCGGGCACGCGUGCCCGGAGGGAGAGUACCCGCAGAAUAAGCAUCGGCUAACUCCGUGCCAGCAGCCGCGGUAAUACGGAGGAUGCGAGCGUUAUCCGGAUUUAUUGGGUUUAAAGGGUGCGUAGGCGGAUUUUUAAGUCAGCGGUAAAAUGUCCGGGCUCAACCCCGUCCGGCCGUUGAAACUGGGGGCCUUGAGUGGGCGAGAAGAAGGCGGAAUGCGUGGUGUAGCGGUGAAAUGCAUAGAUAUCACGCAGAACCCCGAUUGCGAAGGCAGCAUACCGGUGCACAACUGACGCUCAGGCACGAAAGCGUGGGUAUCGAACAGGAUUAGAUACCCGAGUAGUC
rnacentral:rRNA from 1 species